rnacentral:rRNA from 1 species
GACGAACGCUGGCGGCGUGCUUAACACAUGCAAGUCGAACGGAAAGGCCCUGCUUUUGUGGGGUGCUCGAGUGCGAACGGGUGAGUAACACGUGAGUAACCUGCCCUUGACUUUGGGAUAACUUCAGGAAACUGGGGCUAAUACCGGAUAGGAGCUCCUGCUGCAUGGUGGGGGUUGGAAAGUUUCGGCGGUUGGGGAUGGACUCGCGGCUUAUCAGCUUGUUGGUGGGGUAGUGGCUUACCAAGGCUUUGACGGGUAGCCGGCCUGAGAGGGUGACCGGCCACAUUGGGAUUGAGAUACGGCCCAGACUCCUACGGGAGGCAGCAGUGGGGAAUAUUGCACAAUGGGCGGAAGCCUGAUGCAGCAACGCCGCGUGCGGGAUGACGGCCUUCGGGUUGUAAACCGCUUUCGCCUGUGACGAAGCGUGAGUGACGGUAAUGGGUAAAGAAGCACCGGCUAACUACGUG